rnacentral:tRNA from 1 species
GGCCUGUGGCUCAGUUGGUAGAGCAUGGUGUUUGCAAUGCCAGCAUGGUGUGUACAACGCCAGGGUUGUGGGUUUGAUUCCCACGGGGGGCCA